GCUGGGCAUGGUGGCGCAUGCCUGUAAUCCCAGCUACACAGGAGGCUGAGGAAGGAGAAUCGCUUGAACCCGGGAGGCGGAGGUUGCAGUGAGCCAAGAUCGUGCCACUGCACUCCAGCCUGGGCAACAGAGCGAGACUCCAUCUCAA
rfam:Homo sapiens chromosome 16, GRCh38 reference primary assembly.